AGGACGAACGCUGGCGGCGUGCCUAACACAUGCAAGUCGAACGAGGUAGCAAUACCGAGUGGCGGACGGGUGAGUACAACAUAGGCAACCUGCCCAUCAAUGGGGGAUACCCAGCCGAAAGGUUGGCUAAUACCGCAUACGCUCCGAGGUUGGAAUACAUCGGAGGAAAGAUUUAUCGUUGAUGGGUGGGCCUGUGGUCGAUUAGCUAGUUGGUGGGGUAAAGGCCUACCAAGGCGACGAUCGAUAGCUGGUCUGAGAGGAUGAUCAGCCACACUGGGACUGAGACACGGCCCAGACUCCUACGGGAGGCAGCAGUGGGGAAUUUUCCGCAAUGGGCGAAAGCCUGACGGAGCGACGCCGCGUGGAGGAUGACGUAUUUCGGUAUGUAAACUCCUGUCAGGGGGGACGAUAAUGACGGUACCCCAAAGGAAGCAUCGGCUAACUACGCGCCAGCAGCCGC
rnacentral:rRNA from 1 species